rnacentral:rRNA from 1 species
ACCGAUAGCGAACCAGUACUGUGAAGGAAAGGUGAAAAGCACUUCGAAUAGAAGAGUGAAAUAGUCCCUGAAACCAUGCGCCUACAAGCGGUCGGAGCAGCUUAAGUUGUGACGGCGUGCCUUUUGCAUAAUGAACCUACGAGUUACUUUUUCCGGCAAGGUUAAGCAUCUUGAGAUGUGGAUCCGAAGCGAAAGCGAGUCUGAACAGGG